AUGAUUAUGGCGAAAUAGGUCUACGCGAUUAGUUUGGGUCUAAUUAUUUCAAGGGUUCAAGUCCCUUUAAUCAUA
rfam:Metschnikowia bicuspidata var. bicuspidata NRRL YB-4993 METBIscaffold_11, whole genome shotgun sequence.